rnacentral:rRNA from 1 species
AACGCGAAGAACCUUACCGACGCUUGACAUGUGCAGAACCUCAGGGAGACCUGGGGGUGCCCGCAAGGGAACUGCAACACAGGUGCUGCAUGGCUGUCGUCAGCUCGUGUCGUGAGAUGUUGGGUUAAGUCCCGCAACGAGCGCAACCCUUGCCUUUAGUUGCCAGCGGGUUAUGCCGGGCACUCUAGAGGGACUGCCGGUGACAAACCGGAGGAAGGCGGGGAUGACGUCAAGUCCUCAUGGCCCUUAUGCGUCGGGCUACACACAUGCUACAAUGGCCGGUACAAAGGGAAGCCAAGGAGCGAUCUGGAGCCAAUCCCAGAAAGCCGGUCGUAGUCCGGAUUGUUCUCUGCAACUCGAGAGCAUGAAGUCGGAAUCGCUAGUAAUCGUGGAUCAGCUACGCCACGGUGAAUACGUUCCCGGGUCUUGUACACACCG